UCAGGAAUGAGCUGUUCUUCUUCCAGAACCUUCAUGGGUUACAUUCAAGCAGCGUCAUAUGUGCGAGAGCGCAUUCCUUUUCUCAGUGUUGAGUAAGCGUUCAAUGAUUACGUUCAAGCAGCGUCAUAUGUGCAACAGCGCAUUCAUUUUCUCCGUCUUGAGUAAGAGCCUUCAAGGGUUACAUUCAAGCAGCGUCAUAUGCGUAAUAGCGCAUUCUUUUUCUCUGUCUUGAGUAAGGUAUAUCUGAAUGGGUCAGCUGUUGUGUAUCGGUCACAAAUGAGCUGUUCUUCUUCGAUACCUUCAAGGGUUACA